GUGCAACUACUUGCGCGCGAGUCUUGGGUGUAAAACCUAAAGGCGCAAUGAAAGUGUCAGGGGGUCCUCUCUCGCGAGGGAGAGGAACCCCCCGCUGGGAAGAUGGGCUACCCGUACAAUUACUUGUCGGAGCCCCGCACUCCCGGGGCGUCUCUAUCUCAUUGCGAGUAGAGACGCACCAGGAGCGCACACGCUGGUACCCGAAAGAUGGUGAACUAUGCCUGGCCAGGACGAAGCCAGGGGAAACCCUGGUGGAGGUCCGAAGCGAUUCUGAAGUGCAAAUCGAUCGUCUGAGCUGGGUAUAGGGGCGAAAGACCAAUCGAACCAUCUAGUAGCUGUUUCCUUCCGAA
rnacentral:rRNA from 1 species